UAAUUAUUUUAAGGUGGAAAUCAACCGAGCAAUUACUUUUAUAAACAGAUGGUAUAUGUGCAUUAUAUUAAUAUGAAUUUUGUGGAUCAUAUCAACAUUCGUCUUAUACAUGUAUAUUAACAUUUCCAACCAUAGGAUCUGCACAAAAUGGAUAAAAUUUGUACUUGUGCCUUUGUGACGAAAAAUAACAGAAAAAAAUCAUUAUUUCUCUCAAUAUACCAGUCCUCAUGUAGAGUACAUCACGGUUUGUCGCUUAUCUCCUCUAAAAGAAGAUACACAUUAUCAAGAUAUGAUUUUGUAUAUACUAAGGUUUACAUUAGAAGGGUUUUGUUGUUCUGUUUAGGACAUAUUGGUUUAUAAACACGCCCUCAAACAUUUUAAUAUUUUUUCAUUUUUAAAAAUCUUUGGUCAUGAAGAUUGAUGCAUAAACACGCGUUGUACACACACAAAUCGGUAUCAAGUAUUCUGUGGCAGUUUUGUGAAUACGAUGCAAGUAACGGUAUCAACCAAACAGAGCUUUAUCUGCAGAGUCUGUUAUAUCAAUAUAACUUGGAUAGAUGAUCAGUAUGUCUGACUGCAAACCUGGGACAGUUGUGUUAGUCAGAUUGUCACUCUUCUUGCAUUUUAAAGACCUCUUUGUAGAUAUCGGAAGUAAAUUAUGAAUGCAUAAAAGCGUGCAUUCUACAAUAUAUCGCUUAUUGUAUAUGCUAAAAGAUGUAACCCGCGGGUUGGGGAUACUUAAAAUAUAUAUUUUUGAAUACAAUAGACAUCCUUAAUGGUUUUCUUAAUUUCAGUUUAAAUGAAGAUGCCAGUACAUAAAAUAUUCUUAUUAUCCAAACUACUUUCGUUAGUGUUUAUCAAAUACCUUUUAAUGAUUAUGUCAUCAUGAUUAUCGAAAUUGAUUUUCACCAUCCGUCUGUAAUAGUUUUGUCUAAGGUGCUGUGGGAGGGAAAGCAGACCCUGGACCACUAGUUGAGGGCAAUUAGGAAUACUGAAAUAGGUUGCUUUUUGUGAUGUCACACUCGAAGAAAAGAUAGCGGAUUGGGAUAAUGUUACGAAUUGAACAUAUCAUGCGUGACACAGAUGUUCCAUAACGGUCAACCAAAUCAUAAUGGAAAUUUUAUCAUUUUUAAGUAUACGCACCAUCAUCAGUACCAAUUUGACUGCACCAAAGUGUUUUGGUGUACUUAAUAUCUCUUCAGUGAUGCUCGAAGCAAAACUAUUUGAAAAUGUAAAACCUAUUUAAAUCAUUGAAGAAUUAAUAUAACUAAAGAGGACCAAACGUUUAGCGAAGCUGGACAAGAGAUUAUAGCUAUGCAUGAGGGGGAAGAUACAUUCCUUUACUGGACAAGAGAUUAUAGCUAUGAGGGAGUCACACUACUUUGCUGGUCAAGAGAUUAUAGCUAUGAGGGAGAUACAUUCCUUUGCUUGACAAUAGAUUAUAGCUAUGAGGGAGAAACAUUCCUUUGCUGGACAAGAGAUUAUAGCUUUGAGGGAGAAAUAUUCCUUUGCUGGACAAGAGAUUAUAGCUAGGGACGAGGGGGAGAUACAUUCCUUUGCUGGACAAGAUAUAAUAGCUACCCACGAGGGGGAGAUACAUUCCUUUGCUAUAGAAGAGAUUAUAGCUACCCACGAGGGGGGAGGUACAUUCCUUUGCUGGACAAGAUAUUACAGCUAUGCACGAGGGGGGAGAUACGUUCCUUUGCUGGACAAGAUAUUAUAGCUAUCCACGAGGGGGGAGAUACAUUCCUUUGCUGAACAAGAGUUUAUAGCUAUGCACGAGGGGGGGGGGGAGAUACAUUCCUUUGCUGGACAAGAAAAUAUAGCUAAGCACGAGGGGGAGAUACAUUCCUUUGCUGGACAAGAGAUUAUAGCUAUGGACGAGGGGGAGAUACAUUCCUUUGCUGAACAAUAGUUAAUAGCUAUGCACGAGGGGGGAGAAACAUUCCUUUGCUGGACAAGAGAUUAUGGCUAGGGACGAGGGGGAGAUACAUUCCUUUGCUGGACAAGAGAUUAUAGCUAUCCACGAGGGGGAGAAACAUUCCUUUGCUAUAGAAGAGAUUAUAGCUACCCUCGAGGGGGGAGGUACAUUCCUUUGCUGGACAAGAGAUUAUAGCUAUGCACGAGGGGGAGAUACAUUCCUUUGCUGAACAAGAGAUUAUAGCUAUCCACGAGGGGGAGAUACAUUCUUUUGCUGAACAAGAGUUUAUAGCUAUGCACGAGGGGGGAGAUACAUUCCUUUGCUGGACAAGAGAUUAUAGCUAUGCACGAGGGGGAGAUACAUUCCUUUGCUGGACAAGAGAUUAUAGCUAUCUACGAGGGGGGAGAUACAUUCCUUUGCUGGACAAGAGUUUAUAGCUAUGCACGAGGGGGGAGAUACAUUCCUUUGCUGGACAAGAGAUUAUAGCUAUCCACGAGGAGGGGGAGAUACAUUCCUUUGCUGGACAAGAGUUUAUAGCUAUGCACAAGGGGGGAGAUACAUUCCUUUGCUGGACAAGAGAUUAUAGCUUUGCACGAGGGGGGAGAUACAUUCCUUUGCUGGACAAGAGAUUAUAGCUAUCCACAAGGGGGAGAUACAUUCUUUUGCUGGACAAGAGAUUAUAGCUAUCAACGAGGGGGGAGAUACAUUCCUUUGCUGGACAAGAGAUUAUAGCUAUGCACGAGGGAGAAAAUACAUUCCUUUGCUGGACAAGAGAUUAUAGUUUUGCACGAUGGGGGGAGAUACAUUCCUUUGCUGGACAAGAGAUUAUAGCUAUGCACGAGGGGGGAUACAUUCCUUUGCUGGACAAGAGAUUAUAGCUAUGCACAAGGGGAGAUACAUUCUUUUGCUGGACAAGAGAUUAUAGCUAUGCACGAGGGGGGAUACAUUCCUUUGCUGGACAAGAGAUUAUAGCUAUGCACGAGAGGGAGAUACAUUCCUUUGCUGGACAAGAGAUUAUAGCUAUGCACGAGAGGGAGAUACAUUCCUUUGCUGGACAAGAGAUUAUAACAAAGAUUACUUUGAUGAUCAAAAUAUAAAAUGCACGAGUACGAAACAAUAAGUGGUACACAUGACAAUUAUAUGAUAAAACAUAUUUGAGAGUUUUUUGUUUACAUAACGAUAUUAGAAUGCCGAAAUUAACGACAUUGUGAACAGCGUGAAAACUUAUGUACUAAAAAAUAAAAAUGAACAUACCCAUAUGCCAUGUCAUAAAGAAAAGUGCUUCAUUCUUUGUCUAACUGUAAUUUAUAAUUAUGAAUAAAAUGUGCAUGUAUAUGACAAAUUUGUUUUCGUGAAGGAUGUAAAACCUUAGACGACACCAUUAAAGCUAUUAACACGUGUUGGAAGCAUCAAAGAACCAAUGCUCCUGAUUGUCAACGGCAUAUUAAUUUCAAGAACUGCCUGUACGAAAAGGCAAAGAUUUGUGAAGAAAUUAACAAAUUACUCCCAAGAUCAAUACAAUAUGCUGAGCGUGAAGUAAAAUGUACAACUACUACAUCCACAACGACAACACAGAUUCCACAAACGACAACACAGAUUCCAAUAACGACAUCACAGAUUCCAAUAACGACAACACAGAUUCCAUUUACGACUAUGAUUACGACAUCUGAAAUACCAGACACAACAAUUGCAAUGACAACUAAUAAAAAAAAUUUAAAGUUGACAACCGAAUCUCUGACUUUCACUUCUAACAUGAAAAGCAGUAAAGAGUUUACUACAAAAAGUGUUACGCAAAACACCAAUAUUCCAGUUUUUACCAGUGAAGUGAAAUCGUUUACAUCAUUGCAAAAGACAACUCCUACAACACACUCCAAUAAAUCGGGAAAUAAAGUAAAAGAGAGAACGAAAUUGUUUGAAACGACUUCUAAACAAAUCAAUACACACAAUGCAACAACAGGAAUUCCAUGGGAUAAUAAUUAUGAAGAAAUACGCCAUGUCAUCCUAAAUUGUUUGGUCCAUGUGAAGGACCAGUCAUCCCUUAAAGCCUCGCAUAUCAAUUUUGAAACUUGCAUGUCUGUCUUUAAGGUAUACUCUUGCUUGAAUACCAAUAUCAGCAUCGGGAAAGAUAUGCUUAUCUUAAAUGAGUUACUUCCGCAAAAUAUCUUUAACUUCACAGAAGAUGUGUUCGAGAAGUGUCAUCAGGUGAUAAACAAUUACCAUUCGUACAUUCAACGAGUAGAGGCAUCAUGUGGCAGACCCAAAGCGAAAAACAUUGGUUGUACUGGUCACAAUUAUGGCUUGCUGGACUGUAGCUCUAGUGCAGGCAGAAUGCGUGUCACUGGUUUUGUACAUGUAUUAACGUUACUGUAUAUUUUCAUGUAAUUUAGCACAAACAAUAUUUUACAUGUUCAAACAAUUGAAUUUUCAAAUAUGAUAUUUUUUGAAUUCAUCGUUAAAGAGGAAACUUAAUAUGUUGAAACAAUAUUAGAAUCCACAAUACACGAUCAGUUUGUAAGUGCAUAAACAAAGCAUUUCACCAGAAAUCAAAUGAAGAUCGAGAUAGUUAAAUUCUCUCUCGCCAUGCUCGUCCGAAUUUAUAAAGCAAUUUUCUUAUUAAAUUACUUAGAAUAAAUAAGACAACAGUAUAAUAUAGAUUUAGUUGCUCGCAGUAACUUCAACGUAACAAAGGAGUAGAUACAAUUUGAAUCAAAUGCCAAGAUGGCUUACUUAAAAUCAUUUUAUCACCUUCAAAAAUCAAAGAAGGAAAUUCAUCUAAACAUGAAUUAAACUAAAUUUAUAACAUGAUUCCAUUUUAUUGAAUAAAUAUUAGAUUCCAAAAAGGGCACAGUAUUUCCUUGUUGAAUAAGGCCACCAACAUAAAACGAAAUAAUAGUUGGCGUGACUUUUGAAUGCUUUAGCCCAUAUGAAACACAUCACAAUCGUUUCUCAAAUAACUGCAGUAUUUCAUAAUAGUAUAGUACGAACAUUUGAUGACUUGAUAUUACACGGCAAACCAUCAUUCACACUGACAAAUAUUGGAUUAUUAGCAAAACUUUCAAACUAUUUCGGUUGAGACUAACAAAGAAAAAUAAAAGGAAUUGAAAUGAAAUGAAAAACAACAAACAUUGAUAUUUCUAUAUACAUACUAACAACAUUCCAUGUCUCCGUGCGCAACCAAAUACAUUGCACGAUUCCUAUACAUAACUACAAUUCAAACCAAAUGUCAAGUCAUCUUGCGUGACAAAAACCACCACAGUGUGCGAAGAACAUUUUUUUAAAGAAUAUUUGAUUGAUACAGGCAUAUAUCCAAAUCCAAAAUACCAUGAACCCAUUUUACAAGUGCUCUAACAUAUAUAUAAAUACUAUAACUAUAACACAGGGAAAAAAGUUCCAACGAAAAGAAUAUUUCGAAGGCAACGUUCAGUAUCAACGAAUUUUUGCAAAUAUAACGAAAACGAGACCACAGUGACUGGUUGCAUGUGGGUAAAUAACUAUGCAUUUCAUUAAGUGUACAUGAGGGAGUGAGUACUUUAUCAGUGUAAAUAAAGACAUGCAUUAAACCGAGUACGUUAUAAGUGUACAUUACAUAAUCUGAAAACUUAUUUGUGCUAGUAUACAAGGGGAUAAUCGCCACAACUGUAUGCAUUCUAGUUCUAUGUUAGCUUUCUGAUUUUAUAUAUUACUAUGUCAUGUUUUAUUUCAUCUUGUAUUUUGCUUUCGUCUUUAUGAUGUGUAAAAUUAUAAUUGGCGAUUAUUGUCGUCGCAUAUUUUGACUUGUUUCUUUUUCAUGUAUAUAGGAUUACAUUAAAGAUCUUUAUUCUUUUUUUACGCCUUAAAACAAAUGUCAAAAUGAAGAAUAGUACCAAGGCGAAUGUAAAGGGUUGUGUCUCAUAAUGUCAGACAGCGACGAAUUAAGUUCAACUUACUACUCUAACGUACCGAAACGUCAAUCUGAUCUGUCUGAUUUACAAGUGAUAUCCUUAAGGUUUCGAACCACAUUACACUUGUAAGAACAAGGAUGAAAAACAAUGAGUUAAUUGUAGCUACAUGUAUGAGGAUCAAUCUAAUCAUUUCUGAGAAAAUACUUUUAUUGUAAAUAUUGGGAAAACGGAAAAUACCAUAUUUGUAUUGCAUAAAACAUAAUUAGAUGAAAUGAAAUUGACUCCGAGUUGCUGAAUGAAGUGAUCUGCAAUUUCGUAUAUUUACAUAUUGCAUUUCGAAAUAUCUUAAUUUAAAAAAACGAGAUAAAAACUUAAUGAAUGUUAGAUUCGGGUUAAGCAAUCACAAUCUCAUCAUAGAGAUCGAUCGAUAUAGAAGAAAAACUAACGAUCAUUACAAGUGGAAAGAUAGUUUUAAAAAUCUAGAACUGUUCUGUUGUUAGUCCAUUACCUAUAGUAAUACACUAUACAUGUAUAUAAAGGAUAUCAGAACAUCUUUUUUGUUGAUAUCAUGGGAAAGGGUUAUGAGCACUAAGGCUCUAUCCUCAAGAUUUUAAAUCCUUUAUUUCAAGAGGAAAAGUGUUUUAAACAUAUGAGAAAGUGAAAUGGAGUGAUUUUUGUUGAGCUUUAUUGUGCAGAGUUGAUAUUUACACCUCUGCUGUGUAUCAGCAUAUUCAUAUUCAGAAAAAAUCACAGUUAUCUCUCUUUAUACAACAAAUCAUCGCACUCAGUAUAUGAACUGUUUAAAAAGACAUGUACACAUGUUUGAAUCUGCAGUGUUAUUAUUUUUUUCAUGAUUAAUUGUAUGUAAUUAACUCUGUCAUUAGGAUCAAUAAAGUUAUUUUGUUAUAGUUAA